GGAGAGGUGGCAGAGCGGUCGAACGCGCCACCUUGGAAAGGUGGUGUACUUGAAAAGGUACCGCGGGUUCGAAUCCCGCCCUCUCCGCCA
rnacentral:tRNA from 2 species